GAUCAUGGCUCAGGAUGAACGCUAGCUACAGGCUUAACACAUGCAAGUCGAGGGGCAGCGAGAAGAAAGCUUGCUUCUUGUCGGCGACCGGCGCACGGGUGAGUAACGCGUAUCCAACCUUCCCUUAGUAGGGCAUAGCCGGCGAAAGUCGGAUUAAUACCCUAUGUUCUUCGUAGAGGACAUCUGAAAUGAAGCAAAGACUUGUCGCUAAGGGAUGGGGAUGCGUCUGAUUAGGUAGUCGGCGGGGUAACGGCCCACCGAGCCUGCGAUCAGUAGGGGUUCUGAGAGGAAGGUCCCCCACAUUGGAACUGAGACACGGUCCAAACUCCUACGGGAGGCAGCAGUGAGGAAUAUUGGUCAAUGGGCGCGAGCCUGAACCAGCCAAGUAGCGUGCCAGGAUGACGGCCCUAUGGGUUGUAAACUGCUUUUAUGCGGGGAUAAAGUGCACCACGUGUGGUGUUUUGUAGGUACCGCAUGAAUAAGGACCGGCUAAUUCCGUGCCAGCCGCUGC
rnacentral:rRNA from 1 species